GAGUUUGAUCAUGGCUCAGGACGAACGCUGGCGGCGUGCCUAAUACAUGCAAGUCGAGCGAGCUUGCCUAGAUGAUUUUAGUGCUUGCACUAAAUGAAACUAGAUACAAGCGAGCGGCGGACGGGUGAGUAACACGUGGGUAACCUGCCCAAGAGACUGGGAUAACACCUGGAAACAGAUGCUAAUACCGGAUAACAACACUAGACGCAUGUCUAGAGUUUGAAAGAUGGUUCUGCUAUCACUCUUGGAUGGACCUGCGGUGCAUUAGCUAGUUGGUAAGGUAACGGCUUACCAAGGCAAUGAUGCAUAGCCGAGUUGAGAGACUGAUCGGCCACAUUGGGACUGAGACACGGCCCAAACUCCUACGGGAGGCAGCAGUGGGGAAUAUUGGGCAAUGGGCGCAAGCCUGACCCAGCAACGCCGCGUGAAGGAGAAGG
rnacentral:rRNA from 1 species